GAUGAACGCUGGCGGCGUGCCUAAUACAUGCAAGUCGAGCGAACAGACGAGGAGCUUGCUCCUCUGACGUUAGCGGCGGACGGGUGAGUAACACGUGGAUAACCUACCUAUAAGACUGGGAUAACUUCGGGAAACCGGAGCUAAUACCGGAUAAUAUAUUGAACCGCAUGGUUCAAUAGUGAAAUACGGUUUUGCUUUCACUUAUAGAUGGAUCCGCGCCGCAUUAGCUAGUUGGUAAGGUAACGGCUUACCAAGGCGACGAUGCGUAGCCGACCUGAGAGGGUGAUCGGCCAAACUGGAACUGAGACACGGUCCAGACGCCUACGGGAGGCAGCAGUAGGGAAUCUUCCGCAAUGGGCGAAAGCUUGACGGAGCAACGCCGCGUGAGUGAUGAAGGUCUUCGGAUCGUAAAACUCUGUUAUUAGGGAAGAAAAAAUGUGUAAGUAACUAUGCACGUCUUGACGGUACCUAAUCAGAAAGCCACGGCUAACUACGUG
rnacentral:rRNA from 1 species